GUUAAGCAGUGUUGGUAAGGAAGCCCCAAGCGCAGGGAAGGGUUGCAAAACCUCCUGCCUAGCAGGUGAGGGAAGGAAUGUGAUGAGAAAUGUGGGUAGGGGUCAGAUCAGGCAGGGAUGCGGACGCCACGAUGAGGACUUAAAAAAAGUAAGCGAAAGAACGACAUAGGUCCAAUUUGUCCCGAAGCCGCGGAGGAAGGGUCCUGUGAAUACCUCCAAGCUCCGCCCCCUCCGAGCCCCGCCUACAGGGCUGGGCUUCAUUGCACGUGCUCACUCGGCUCCUUCGCGACCUGCCUCCUUGGGAAGACUCAUUGUUGGGGCGGGGGGAUACGAGGAGUCUUAGCGAACACUGGCCAGGGAUAAGUCAAAAUAAAGAGAGGCUCCUGAAG
rnacentral:lncRNA from 1 species